UCUCUCUCUCUCUCUCUCUCUCUGUCCCUUUUCCAAUUUUGACAGGGUAAUAUUGGCUUUAUAAAGAGAGUUGGUAACAUACCUUCUCUGUCUAGUGUUUUUUUUAAAAAGCUAGAAGGCUUGCUGUUAAUUCUUUAAAUGUGUGGUAGAACUUACCAGUGACUCCAUCUGGGCCUGCACUUUAAGUCGGGAGACUUUUUAAUUAGUGUUUCAAUCUCGUUGCUUGUUAUAGAUCUGCUUAAGCUUAUUUUUCCUUCUAGUUUAAUUUUGGUAGGUUUUAUGCAUCUAGAAGUUAAUCCAUUUCUUUUAGAUUUUCCAAGAUGUUGGAAUGAAAGUUUUUAAGGUGUGUCACAAUAAUUUUUCUAAACUUACUUGGCAUUUGCUGACAUGGCAACACUUUUUUAUCUCUAAUUCUUUCUCUUGAUUACCUUGACUAAACAUUCAGUGAUCUUAACAUUUAUUGCUUCAGAAGAGCCAACUCUGCACCAUCAUCUUCAUCAUUCAAUAGCGUGCCUUUAGGUCUCUGUGUGCCUUUAGGUCUCUGUGUGCCUUUAGGUCUCUAUGUUUCUCAGUGUCUUUAUCUUUUCUGACUCUUGAUUUCCAGACUUUUCCUUUGUGCAUGGUAGAAUCUGAGACAUUUUAUUUUGAUUUCCCUGUCUUUGUUAGGAUUUGCUUUGUGUCCUAUAUCUGACCUGUUUCAGAGAUAGUUACAUGGACUGAUGAGAGGAAUGUGUCAGAAGAAUUCUAAACCAUCUCUGAGAUGCUGUUGUCCCUCAACUCUUGACUCUUGCCCUUUUUUGUUCCCUUGGUGGCUUCCAAUUUCUCAUUUCUACUUUCAAAUUCCCUUUUCAAGUGCUGCUUAUUCCAUAAGUGCCUUGGCCAUCACACAACCAGGAGAAUUGGAUUUGCAUUCCCACAAAACACAAUGAUAAUAUUAGCUAUUUCCCAUAAAAACAAUCCUGGGUUACCACAAGAAAGUCAACUUGGUUAGUUAUUUGUGCAAAAAUAAUAGAAAUAUUUGAUAGAUUAAAAAUUACUCCAACUUGAACUACCAAAAUAUCCGAAAUUCUCCCAAUGUUUAGAUCUCUUUGAUACCAACAGUUUAUGAGAGGAUCUUUUUGUAAGGUAAGUUUUGAGCUUCUCUCAACCUGACGUUAUGCUGAUUAUCACUCUGGGAAUAGAGCAUGCCCUAUGGUAUAGAAAGAAUUUUGAGGAUGAUGGAAACAGAGGGAAGAACCUUGUCAUAUCCACCUACCUCAUAACAACCCACAGAAGUCUUCCCAUCCAUCCUCACACCUAAGCACUGUGGUAUCCACAUUAUGAAUCUGUAAUUUAAGAUGAAGUAGGGGAGCUUUGGCGAGGUUAAAUGUCUCUGUUGAUUGCACUCUGACCCUGAGUUCUAAACAUCUGCUUCUAAAGUUCAUCUUCAUUCUUUUGGAUGUGACAGGGGACCUGACUGGCAUUUAUUGUCUGUCAUUCUGCAGGUAGUUCGGGCUCAGCUGAUCUAGCUGUCUGGUGAGAUUUCUGCCAGGAUUGGGAAAGCCCAGGGCAGAGUGGGCUUUGACUGGGCUGUGGAGUAGUUGGCUUCUCUGAGCGUCACACAACAACCUUGAGGCAGGAGUUAGGAGGAAGAGAAGAAGUAUAAAGUGACAAGCGGGGAGAUCUCUGGGCUCUGCAGAUUUGCCUGUCAACUUCACAAGAACUGGACCUCUAUGCUGAGAUGGCUUUUCCUGUUGUGCUCUUGCUUAUUUAUCUAAAUGCACUGUCUGCAAAUGAGCAAAUGAUCCAGGCAUCAGUGGGGCACAGCCCUUUCCCAGACCUUUGGUUCUAACCAUUUUCAGAGCCAAAUUGUAAGUCUAGGACCCCAGGAUGCUGGGGAGUCACUGGACACUACAGCACUACCUUUAUGAAGGAUGCGGGAGUGAAGAAAAGAGGUCUGGUUGGACUGGCAACGACCACUUCAACCUCCUUCAUGUGACCAGAUAGCAAUCAAUGUCAAUAGCUGAGUCCUCCAAUCAGUAGGAUAAUGAUAAAGAAUGGAGCGAACAGAGACAAAGGAAAGCCUGACAGUGUUUGGAUGAGGCAGGAUCUGCGGCUCAGUGGCAAAGACAAAAUAAGGAGGAGAAAGGGCACUGCGUAUACUGGCAGCAACCUUUGCUGCUCUCUUCUACCAAUAAGAGUCCCUGUUACAAUCUCCUGAAAGAUUCCGUUCAAUUUCAGCCCUGGGGGACUGGAGAAAAGACCCAUAAGAAGCAGGAGUCUAGCUUCAAGAUGUUAUUUUUAACACAAGCCCAAUCACUUCUGACUUUGUACCCAAAGAUGAAGCCGGCUUUCAUAUUGCAUGCAUUUAGCUGAGACUGUGUUUCCAGCAAUUUCCUCCCCACCCUGAUGAAGUGAUAUUAAUUUCCUCUGCAUUACGGCAGAGGAAAAUAUCUCCCAUCUCUUUUCUCAAGAUCGUUGAUAGAGGAGUAUAUUAGUUUUUGAUAGAAUUGAUUAUGGACACAUUAUUUACCUACUCAGUUUGUUUCCAUUUCAGACAUCUGUUAUUUCAAGACAGUUUCAAGCCCCUUACUUCUUUGUCUUUGAAGGUGCUACCUAAAUUGAUGUCUCAUUGACUUUCUAGCUCCAUAGGUGAGAGAAUCUAGACUUUAUUCCUCAAACUGCCGAACAGAAAUACUUUUCUGGGGGAGGGGGUUGGUGGCAGAAAGCGUGGGGGGAAAAGGCAAUAAUGAGAAGAAGACAGCCUGAUACUCUGGAAACGGCAUCACAUUUGGGGGUAGGAGCUCAGUUCUCAAGGAUCCGAGAACCGGAAGUCAGUUAUGUACAUACUUGGAACUCACUUUCUCUGUCUGUUAACUCAGCACCAAUUCCAUCUAUUGCAUUUUUACUAAGUGGUUGCUAGGAGUCGGUGUAGUGGUGAGCGGCGUGCAAGGCGGCAAAACUCAAGAUUGGUUAGGAGAAUGGUUCCUGGUGGAUGCUGGGAAUGCUCGACACAUCUUGGGAAUUUCAAACAUCCCUCUCUUUUAGUAAGUUGAAAGCCUUUUGAAUGGUAAGUGUUAAACUGCGUCCUUGUUGCUAUUCACUGGAUGACCUUGGGCUCAUCCGCUAAUGUCUCUGCUUUGUAGUUCCUCUUUUCAAGCUGCAGAAACAACACAAUAAGUGAUUCUGG
rnacentral:sRNA from 1 species